AGUAGCAAAUAUUCAAAU
rnacentral:snRNA from 1 species